AAAAAGAAAAAGAAAAAAAAAGUCGUGCACUCGUGUCGUUGGAUGCACCCAACUAAAGAUGGUUGUGAGGCGGGUCUGGCUUAGAGCCGAGCCCAUGGGCCCGCCCACACAAAGCCUACUCUUCAACAAGUCUGGUCGUGCCAGGUCCAAAAUUUUAAAAUAGGGCCUAGGCCCACGAAUCGUCGUGCCUAAACCUAAUUUUACUAAAUUUUGGUGUUUUGUCGUGCCGUACUUUUCCAAAAAAUUAUGCUCCAACUUUGGCCCACGCUCUUCUCGAACUGUGCUUUUUUUCGUGUCUGUGCCGGAUCGAGUUUUUCGUGCCAGAUCCGGGCGGGCCUCGGGCCGGCUUAACAUACAACAAUUUUUACACCCAACUAUCCAAGUCACAAUUGGUGUUGUUGUGGCCAGUUCGCCUUCAAAAAAUUGAGACGGGUCAUACUCAAAUUGUACUCGUGCAACCUGUUUGACUAUAGUUUAGUCACACAACCAAAAAGAGUUUGGAAGUGCCAAAGGUUUUGGUUGCGGUUUUAGGGAGAAGUAGCCGUAGCAAACAAUUAUCAAGUGAGAGAAUGAUGAGGACUUGAGGUUCAUACUCAAUGUGGCAAUGGCGGAUAGCCAGAUUAAGCUCCAAAUCAAAAACUACGGAGAUUAUCAACUUCAACCAGAUCAACAUUUGAAGAUGAAGGCUCUUGGUUUUAUUCUUAUCAGUCGCGGGCCUCCGAUUACGAUCACCAUUCCCACUCCAUUUUCCGAGCUGCCUCCCUCCAUGGCAACGGCGUCGUUUCCGUCCUUGCUUACCAUUCUACCACCCCCGUUUUGCUAUUAUUAGCAGAGUGCCAGAGAUGGCUCUGGGAACUGGAAAAAAGCAUUUGCAGGCCACAUCAAAACCACGGAGCCCUACCAUUCAAGCCUCCAAUGGGCGAAACACAACAGAGCCGGGAUAAUGCAUGCGCAGGGAGGAGGAUGCCGGUGAUGCAUAGGGAUUAAGGCUUUAGCAGAUGAUUCCUGAAUAUUUCCACUUGGUGUACGCCUCGGUGCUGCUGGUGGUUUUAAUGAUCCGCCCAUCUUGAGCGGUGGAGGUGGUGGUGCUGGACCUUUCUUGGCUGCCAUUGGUGGUGCUGGUGGUGGUGGAGCUGGUGCUUUCUUGACUGCCAUUGGUGGCGGUGCUGGUGCUGGUGCUGGUGCUGGUGCUGGUUCUGACUUAGCAGCCAUAGAAGGCGGUAAAGGCGGAGUAGGAGUGAUUCCUUCCUUAGCAACAACCACUUUUUCAGCCACCGCCGCCUCUUCUCCUCUACCAACAGCCUGAAAAGUGGCUUCAUUUUGUGGUGGUUUAGAACCAAGAAGCCUAGCUGUUUGCUCCUCCUUAGGAUGUAUUUGAUUAUACGAAGACGACGAUUUCCCUCGAGAAUAUGUCCUCCUACCAUUGCUCCCUUUGCUAAAGGCAUCCUUAUGAAAAGGUCCACUCUUCCUUUGGCUCCCUUCAAGCUUCCUCCAAUACAACACGUCCAAACCAUCUUCAUCAACUAUCAACCCUUUAAUAUUCCCAUCAAACCUCGUAAACUCUGAUUGCGGCAACGCCUGCAACCUUCCUCCACCACCAACACCACCACCACCUCCACCAGAAGCAGGAAUGGCUGCUGGCAUAACACAAACCUGUCCCCCAUUUUCCUUCUUCUUUCGCUGGGUAUAUUUCGUACAGAAGAAGAAAACUGCUGCAGCCACCACCAAAGUACUCGCAGCUGUCACACCAACAGCUGUAUAUAUCGCCCUAUGAGACGUCCCCCCUCGUGAUGAUUGCUGAUCCUGCUGUGUCGUAUCCUGUGGCGGCGACAGCAGUGGCGUGGGCGGUGUUGGGGAUGACGGAAUAGGAGGGACUACUACUACUCCAGGGGGAACAGCAGGAGGUGGUGGUGGUCGUGGUGGUGGUGAAGAAGGAUAGAAAGUUUCAAUGUUCUGAGGAGGAUUAGAUUGACAUAAUGAAACAUUAAUGAAGGAAUUAAGAAAAACAAAGAUGAUGAAGAACGAAAUGUUGGUAAGAAACAAAUGUUGUGAUUUUGUUAGAAAUGCCAUCCCCUUUGAUCUGUACAACAAAAAAGGGAGGAGAGAGAAAGAGGGAAAGAUAGAGGGGGAACUAAUAAGUUUGUUGAUUAGUUCUAGUAAUAUUUUUGGGGGGGUUGGUUUUGUUGUAUUAAGAUGGUGUUGAGCUGUUCCCAUGUUGGGUCUUUUUUCCUGCUAGCUUUUGCAGACAUUGUCAAACUAAGCAGGUUGCUGACUAUGAGUAAUUUAUAUUUAUUUAUA